rnacentral:rRNA from 1 species
UACGUAGGGUGCGAGCGUUAAUCGGAAUUACUGGGCGUAAAGCGUGCGCAGGCGGCUUGCAAGACAGAUGUGAAAUCCCGGGCUCAACCUGGGAAUUGCAUUCGAGACUGCAAAGCUUGGGUGCGGAAGAGGGAAGCGGAAUUCUCGGUGUAGCGGUGAAAUGCGUAGAUAUCGGGAGGAACACCUGUGGCGAAAGCGGCGCACUGGACCACAACUGACGCUGAGGCGCGAAAGCUAGGGGAGCAAACAGG